rnacentral:rRNA from 1 species
UUUGAAAUCUGGCUGUCUUCGAUAGUCCGAGUUGUAAUCUAUAGAAGCGUUUUCCGUGCUGAACUGUGUCUAAGUCCCUUGGAACAGGGUAUCAAAGAGGGUGACAAUCCCGUACUUGACACAAUCAUCAGUGCUCUGUGAUACGCUCUCUACGAGUCGAGUUGUUUGGGAAUGCAGCUCAAAAUGGGUGGUAAAUUCCAUCUAAAGCUAAAUAUUGGCGAGAGACCGAUAGCGAACAAGUACCGUGAGGGAAAGAUGAAAAGCACUUUGGAAAGAGAGUUAAACAGUACGUGAAAUUGUUGAAAGGGAAACGAUUGAAGUCAGUCGUGUUCAUUGGAUUCAGCCGGUCUUCGGUGUACUUCCUUUGAACGGGUCAACAUCAGUUUUGCCCGGUGGAUAAAGGCAGUAGGAAUGUGGCCUCUCCGGAGGUGUUAUAGCCUAUUGUCACAUACACUGGGGGAGACUGAGGACUGCAGCUCGCCUUUUGGCCGGGGUUCGCCCACGUUCGAGCUUAGGAUGUUGACAUAAUAGG